ACUUCUAGUAUUUAAUUUAGCCUCAGAUUUUAUUUCAGUAGGCGAUGGACCUCCACUGUAAGUCUCAAUUAGGUCAAACCAUUAACAUAAACCUACUUAGUGAUUCUAGCCAAAGAAUGAUCAAGUCCGAGGAUGGCUCGGUCAACCCAACCAUUUAUCAGAUAGUUCAAUAGAGUCAUCAUAUGAUGAAUGAUAAUUUCAUCAUUUAG
rnacentral:lncRNA from 1 species